rnacentral:rRNA from 1 species
UACAGAGGAUGCAAGCGUUAUCCGGAAUGAUUGGGCGUAAAGCGUCCGCAGGUGGUUUUAUAAGUCUGCUGUUAAAGCGUGUGGCUCAACCACAUACAGGCAGUGGAAACUAUGAAACUAGAGUAUGUUAGGGGUAGAGGGAAUUCCCAGUGUAGCGGUGAAAUGCGUAGAGAUUGGGAAGAACACCGGUGGCGAAAGCGCUCUGCUAGGACAAUACUGACACUGAGGGACGAAAGCUAGGGGAGCGAAUGGG